UACAGAGGUCUCAAGCGUUGUUCGGAUUCAUUGGGCGUAAAGGGUGCGUAGGUGGCGCUGUAAGUCGGGUGUGAAAUUUCGGAGCUUAACUCCGAAACUGCAUUCGAUACUGCCGUGCUUGAGGACUGGAGAGGAGACUGGAAUUUACGGUGUAGCGGUGAAAUGCGUAGAUAUCGUAAGGAAGACCAGUGGCGAAGGCGGGGUCUCUGGGACAGUUCCUGACGCUGAGGCACGAAGGUCAGGGGGGAGCAAACGGGG
rnacentral:rRNA from 1 species